rnacentral:rRNA from 1 species
GACGAACGCUGGCGGCGUGCUUAACACAUGCAAGUCGAACGAAGAGCGAUGGAAGUUUGCUUCCUUCAAUUUUAGUGGCGCACGGGUGUGUCACGCGUAAUCAACCUGUCCUUCAGUGGGGUACAUCAGUUGGACACGACUGCUAAUACCACAUUCGAUUCAAUCUCGGCAUCGGGAAUGGAUGAAAGGUGGUGUUUAUUUAUAAGCUUUCACUGAAGGAGCAGUUUGUGUCUGAUUAGCUAGUUGGUGGGGUAACGGACUACCAAUGCGAUGCUCAGUAGCCGGACUGAGAGGAUGAACGGCCAAAUUGGGAAUGAGACACGGGCCAGACUCCUACGGGAGGCAGCAGUUAGGAAUCUUCCGGAAUGGAGGAAAGUCUGACGGGGCAACGCCGCGUGGAUGAUUACAGCCUUCGGGAUGGAAAGCUCUGUUAAUCAGGACGAAUGGUACGUGUGCGAAUAGAGCGAGGAUUUGACGGUACCGGAAUAGAAAGCCACGGCUAACUACGUG